rnacentral:rRNA from 1 species
GACGAACCGAGCGAACGUUGUUCGGAAUCACUGGGCUUAAGGGGCGCGUAGGCGGGCAUUCAAGUCCGUGGUGAAAUCCGGCAGCUCAACUGUCGAACUGCCGCGGAUACUGGGUGUCUCGAGGGAGGUAGGGGCGUGCGGAACUAUUGGUGGAGCGGUGAAAUGCGUUGAUAUCAAUAGGAACUCCGGUGGCGAAGGCGGCACGCUGGACCUUUUCUGACGCUGAGGCGCGAAAGCCAGGGGAGCAAACGGG